GCGGCCGUAAUUCAGUGGUAGAAUGCAGCCUUCCCAAGGCUGACGUCGUGGGUUCGAAUCCCAUCGGCCGCU
rnacentral:tRNA from 1 species